AAAGACCAAAGAAUUCACCAUUAAGGGUUAGCAAACCAUCAAAUAAGUGUCAUUCCAGCACUGUCCAGCGCUGAGGGCAAAACAGGGCCCCUCAACAUCAGUUGCAGAUCAAAACAUUCACAAAACCAAUUUUGCCAGGCCACUGCUCAACGGUAGCUCACCGCUCAGUGGUGGCGGCGGCAGUUUUUCAAAAUCGUGCAUAAACCCCUCUAAUCUCCAC
rnacentral:lncRNA from 1 species